CGUGGGCUGUGAUUGGUUUUUUUCUAACCUUUUUUUCCCUCCCCUCUCUCUUAACCAGCCUAGCUAUAACUGCGGCUGGCUUCUAUCAGAAGGAUCUACCUGCCUAUGUUGUGAACCACCGCUUGUAUAUUUCUUAUGAGAUGUUUGUUUCUGGUGGUUUAAGAGACGCCCGUGGAUAUAGCGUUCGUAGACGUGGACUUCAGUAAUGCUCUCCAUAGUCAUAGUGGGGAGGCCAUGUUGGGGCGUUCAGGAUCUAGAGAGGCAGGGUUAUGUGAAGGACAAAAUGGUGGCGGCAGUGCGAGGCCAUGCCCUAUGAUGAGGACCUUUUCACAGACCUGUACUGAUCUCUGUGAGGAUAAGUAACUCUGAGGAGGCUGGCCCCGGACCUACGGCCUUCUGACCCUGCAGAGGUUGUGAUGUAAAAGCGGUGUAGGAAUAACCCGAUGCUGUUUGCUCUUACAGGUUUAAGGUACUCUUUUACAUGCGAAAGAAUGGGAGCACGCUCUCAUUUCAAAAUAUGGCUAAUGUCAAAGCCGUUUGCACUUUGGAGCCAGGCCUGUUCAAUUUUACAAAUAGCAAGUUUUUCUUACAAUCAGGGUACGGUGGCAACGUGACUUGAAACCCCCAGAAUCAUACCCGGGAUGAAUGCAGGUAAUAGUCCAGAUGGAGCUUGGGCUUUCUCUUUGGGUAAAUAGUUGGAGAAACGCUGAAGUGGCACACUAUCUUUGCUGCUUAUGGAUUCUGCAUAUCUCUAUAUUUAGGCUUUGCUCACUCAACUCACUGUCAGAUGAUUUGAAUUGAUACACUGAUAACUCCGUGAAGGUGUGAAUUUAUUAUAGCAUGUUAGAGUUCUGAUGGCAGUUGAUGGUAAGGAAUAGGUAUCUGUUCUGUCCUGACCAUUGAAAGUAACAAGUUUUUUUUUUUAUUCCCCAGGUUUUCUUGGUGGUGAUUAUCUUAAAGGAGGAGGUUGUUCCUGCACGCCAUCCAUCUCCAGCGUUCGAAGGUUAGAUUGUUGGGGUGGUGUGUCUUGUUCACCAGAUUGGCUGUUUCUGUGAUGAAUCAACUAGCUCACUAUGACUGCUAAUGAAAACACUGGAACACCUGAGAAACUGAAGGGUGGCGUGUUGGGGCAAGGGUGCUUACAUAUCAAGCCUUUUCAAUAGUUUGUUUUUCUCC
rnacentral:lncRNA from 1 species